AACGUAGGAGACAAACGCUAUCCGGAGUUACUGGGCGUAAAGGGCGUGUAGGCGGUUUGUUAAGUCUGGCGUGAAAGCUCUCGGCUAAACCGGGAGAGGUCGUUGGAUACUGGCAAACUAGAGGAUGGUAGAGGCGUGUGGAAUUCCGGGUGUAGUGGUGAAAUGCGUAGAGAUCCGGAGGAACACCAGUGGCGAAGGCGACACGCUGGGCCAUACCUGACGCUAAAGCGCGACAGCAUGGGGAGCAAACGGG
rnacentral:rRNA from 1 species